rnacentral:misc_RNA from 1 species
GAUGAAGAACGUAGCGAAAUGCGAUAAGUAAUGUGAAUUGCAGAAUUCAGUGAAUCAUCGAAUCUUUGAACGCACAUUGCGCCCGACAGUAUUCUGGCGGGCAUGCCUGUCCGAGCGUCAUUUCAACCCUCGAACCCCUCCGGGGGGUCGGCGUUGGGGACCUCGGGAGCCCCUAAGACGGGAUCCCGGCCCCGAAAUACAGUGGCGGUCUCGCCGCAGCCUCUCCUGCGCAGUAGUUUGCACAACUCGCACCGGGAGCGCGGCGCGUCCACGUCCGUAAAACACCCAACUUCUGAAAUGUUGACCUCGGAUCAGGUAGGAAUACCCGCUGAACUUAAGCAUAUCAAUAAGCGGAGGA